rnacentral:rRNA from 1 species
GACGAACGCUGGCGGCGUGCUUAACACAUGCAAGUCGAACGGAAAGGCCCUGCUUUUGUGGGGUGCUCGAGUGGCGAACGGGUGAGUAACACGUGAGUAACCUGCCCUUGACUUUGGGAUAACUUCAGGAAACUGGGGCUAAUACCGGAUAGGAGCUCCUGCUGCAUGGUGGGGGUUGGAAAGUUUCGGCGGUUGGGGAUGGACUCGCGGCUUAUCAGCUUGUUGGUGGGGUAGUGGCUUACCAAGGCUUUGACGGGUAGCCGGCCUGAGAGGGUGACCGGCAACAUGGGGACUGAGAUACGGCCAAGACUCCUACGGGAGGCAGCAGUGGGGAAUAUUGCACAAUGGGCGGAAGCCGGAUGCAGAAACGCGGCGUGCGGGAUGACGGCCUUCGGGUUGUAAACCGCUUUCGCCUGUGACGAAGCGUGAGUGACGGUAAUGGGUAAAGAAGCACCGGCUAACUACGUG